CCUACGGGAGGCAGCAGUGGGGAAUAUUGCGCAAUGGGCGAAAGCCUGACGCAGUGACGCCGCGUGAGGGAUGAAGGUCUUCGGAUCGUAAACCUCUGUCAGCAGGGAAGAACGGUCACUGUGCUAAUCAGCAGUGAAUUGACGGUACCUGCACAGGAAGCACCGGCUAACUCCGUGCCAGCAGCCGCGGUAAUACGGAGGGUGCGAGCGUUAAUCGGAAUUACUUGUCGUAAAGCGCGAGUAGGCGGUAUGUCAAGUCAAGGGUGAAAUCCCCGCGCGCAACGUGGGAACUGCCUUUGAAACUGGCAAACUGGAGUGUGGGAGAGGAUAGUGGAAUUCCAGGUGUAGGAGUGAAAUGCGUAGAUAUCGGGAGGAACAUCAGUGGCGAAGGCGACUAUCUGGCACAUAACUGACGCUGAGGAGCGAAAGCGUGGGUAGCAAACAGGAUUAGAUACCCCAGUAGUC
rnacentral:rRNA from 1 species